GAUGAACGCUGGCGGCGUGCCUAAUACAUGCAAGUCGAGCGAACGGACGAGAAGCUUGCUUUUCUGAUGUUAGCGGCGGACGGGUGAGUAACACGUGGAUAACCUACCUAUAAGACUGGGAUAACUUCGGGAAACCGGAGCUAAUACCGGAUAAUAUUUUGAACCGCAUGGUUCAAAAGUGAAAGACGGUCUUGCUGUCACUUAUAGAUGGAUCCGCGCUGCAUUAGCUAGUUGGUAAGGUAACGGCUUACCAAGGCAACGAUGCAUAGCCGACCUGAGAGGGUGAUCGGCCACACUGGAACUGAGACACGGUCCAGACUCCUACGGGAGGCAGCAGUAGGGAAUCUUCCGCAAUGGGCGAAAGCCUGACGGAGCAACGCCGCGUGAGUGAUGAAGGUCUUCGGAUCGUAAAACUCUGUUAUUAGGGAAGAACAUAUGUGUAAGUAACUGUGCACAUCUUGACGGUACCUAAUCAGAAAGCCACGGCUAACUACGUGCCAGCAGCCGCGGUAAUACGUAGGUGGCAAGCGUUAUCCGGAAUUAUUGGGCGUAAAGCGCGCGUAGGCGGUUUUUUAGUCUGAUGUGAAAGCCCACGGGCUCACCGUGGAGGGUCAUUGGAAACUGGAAAACUUGAGUGCAGAAGAGGAAAGUGGAAUUCCAUGUGUAGCGGUGAAAUGCGCAGAGAUAUGGAGGAACACCAGUGGCGAAGGCGACUUUCUGGUCUGUAACUGACGCUGAUGUGCGAAAGCGUGGGGAUCAAACAGGAUUAGAUACCCUGGUAGUCCACGCCGUAAACGAUGAGUGCUAAGUGUUAGGGGGUUUCCGCCCCUUAGUGCUGCAGCUAACGCAUUAAGCACUCCGCCUGGGGAGUACGACCGCAAGGUUGAAACUCAAAGGAAUUGACGGGGACCCGCACAAGCGGUGGAGCAUGUGGUUUAAUUCGAAGCAACGCGAAGAACCUUACCAAAUCUUGACAUCCUUUGACAACUCUAGAGAUAGAGCCUUCCCCUUCGGGGGACAAAGUGACAGGUGGUGCAUGGUUGUCGUCAGCUCGUGUCGUGAGAUGUUGGGUUAAGUCCCGCAACGAGCGCAACCCUUAAGCUUAGUUGCCAUCAUUAAGUUGGGCACUCUAAGUUGACUGCCGGUGACAAACCGGAGGAAGGUGGGGAUGACGUCAAAUCAUCAUGCCCCUUAUGAUUUGGGCUACACACGUGCUACAAUGGACAAUACAAAGGGCAGCGAAACCGCGAGGUCAAGCAAAUCCCAUAAAGUUGUUCUCAGUUCGGAUUGUAGUCUGCAACUCGACUACAUGAAGCUGGAAUCGCUAGUAAUCGUAGAUCAGCAUGCUACGGUGAAUACGUUCCCGGGUCU
rnacentral:rRNA from 1 species